rnacentral:lncRNA from 1 species
GAGCAAUUGCUUCUGGGCACAGAUGAUCAACGAAAAUUAGAAAGAACUACUUUGAACAGAAAACACAACAUUACAAGCAAAUCAAAUUCCAGAAUCCAGAACAAAGAAUAGAAAAUAAGAAGAGGAACCAAGAACAGAUCUAUGCAGACGAAGAGGGAGAAAGAAAGCGGGGCUUCAUCAUCGAUAUUUCGGGGCUGAAAUCGGGGGUACUAGUGGUGAAAUUUGAGAUCUGGGUUUGGUUAGUGGAGAGAGAAAGCGGGAGGUGCCGGACGAGAAGAAAUAGACAUAUAUGCAAACGAAGAGGGAAAAAGAGGGUGAGCUUACCAGUCACCGGCUUGUCGAUCUCGACUCGCGAGCAGUCAACAGACUCAACACCUUAGUGAAGAAGAAGAAGGGAGACAUCAGACGAGAAAAAAGAG